rnacentral:rRNA from 1 species
AGAGUUUGAUCAUGGCUCAGAGCGAACGCUGGCGGCGUGCUUAACACAUGCAAGUCGAGUGCGUGUUCGUAGCAAUACGGAUGACGCACGGCGCACGGGUGCGUAACACGUGGGCAAUCUGCCCUCGGAUGGGGGAUAACCCCGCGAAAGCGGGGCUAAUACCGCAUGACAUUCCUGGGACUCCGGUCCCGGGACUCAAAGGCCGCAAGGCCGUCUGAGGAGGAGCCCGCGCCCGAUUAGCUAGUUGGUGAGGUAACGGCUCACCAAGGCUUUGAUCGGUAGCCGGUCUGAGAGGAUGGCCGGCCACACUGGAACUGAGACACGGUCCAGACUCCUACGGGAGGCAGCAGUGGGGAAUAUUGCGCAAUGGGCGAAAGCCUGACGCAGCGACGCCGCGUGGGGGAUGAAGCUUCUCGGAGUGUAAACCCCUUUCGACCCGGACGAACGACCCGCAAGGGUUUGACGGUACGGGUAUAAGAAGCCCCGGCUAACUACGUGCCAGCAGCCGCGGUAAUACGUAGGGGGCCAGCGUUGCUCGGAAUUACUGGGCGUAAAGGGUUCGUAGGCGGUGCGGCAAGUCGGGAGUGAAAUCUCUGGGCUUAACUCAGAGGCUGCUUUCGAAACUGCCGUGCUCGAGUGCGGGAGAGGCCAGUGGAAUUGCAGGUGUAGCGGUGAAAUGCGUAGAUAUCUGCAGGAACACCCGUGGCGAAGGCGGCUGGCUGGACCGCAACUGACGCUGAGGAACGAAAGCUAGGGGAGCAAACAGGAUUAGAUACCCUGGUAGUCCUAGCCCUAAACCAUCAGGACUUGGGGUGGCCCGCGUAGGCGGGUCGUCCCGCAGCUAACGCGUUAAGUCCUGCGCCUGGGGAGUACGGUCGCAAGACUGAAACUCAAAGGAAUUGACGGGGGCCCGCACAAGCGGUGG